rnacentral:rRNA from 1 species
GACGAACGCUGGCGGCGUGCCUAAUACAUGCAAGUCGAGCGCAGGAAGCUGACGGAACUCUUCGGAGGGAAGGCAGUGGAAUGAGCGGCGGACGGGUGAGUAACACGUAAGGAACCUGCCUCAAGGAUUGGGAUAACUCCGAGAAAUCGGAGCUAAUACCGGAUAGUUCAACGGACCGCAUGGUCCGCUGAUGAAAGGCGCUUCGGCGUCACCUUGAGAUGGCCUUGCGGUGCAUUAGCUAGUUGGUGAGGUAACGGCCUACCAAGGCGCCGAUGCAUAGCCGACCUGAGAGGGUGAUCGGCCACACUGGGACUGAGACACGGCCCAGACUCCUACGGGAGGCAGCAGUAGGGAAUCUUCCACAAUGGACGAAAGUCUGAUGGAGCAACGCCGCGUGAGUGAUGAAGGUUUUCGGAUCGUAAAACUCUGUUGUAAGGGAAGAACACGUACGAGAGGGAAUGCUCGUACCUUGACGGUACCUUACGAGAAAGCCACGGCUAACUACGUGCCAGCCGCCGCGGUAA